CAGCCGCCGCGGUAAUACCAGCACCUCAAGUGGCAAUCGUGUAUUUGGCCUAAAGCGUCCGUAGCCGGCGCUGUACAUCUUUUGUGAAAUCGUUGAGCUCAACUUAACGGCGUGCAGAAGACACGGCAGUGCUUGAGACCGGGAGGAGUCAGAGGUAUUCUUGGGGGAGCGGUAAAAUGCUAUAAUCCCUGGAGGACCACCAGUGGCGAAGGCGUCUGACCAGAACGGAUCUGACGGUGAGGGACGAAAGCCAGGGGAGCGAACCGGAUUAGAUACAUCUUUUGCGAAAAGCUGUACCAAAAGCAGUCAAGUACGACAUUCGCGAUGCGAAGUCGUACGAACUAUGUUCGUAACAAAAUCUACUAUAGUUUGAUAUGCUUUCAUUAUGCGCAAACAGAUGCUAAUUACCCGAGUAGUCCUGGCCGUAAACGCUGUGAACUAGGUGUUGCCUAUUCUACAGGAAUGGGCAGUGUCGAAACGAAGGUGUUAAGUUCACCGCCUGGGAAGUACGGUCGCAAGACUGAAACUUAAAGGAAUUGGCGGGAGAGCACUACAAGGGGUGCGGCGUGCGGUUUAAUCUAACUCAACGCAGAGAACCUUACCAGCAGCGACAGCAGAAUGAAGGUCAGUCUGAAGGGCUUACCUGACGCGCUGAGAGGUAGUGCAUGGCCGCCGUCAGCUCGUGCCGUAAGGUGUCCUCUUAAGUGAGGCAACGAGCGAGACCUGUGCCUGCAAUUGCUAGCAGCCACAUAGUGGGACUGAGAAUAUUGCAGGGACUGCCUUGGAAACAAGGAGGAAGGUGCAGGCUACGGUAGGUCUGUAUGCUCCUAAUCCGCUGGGCUACACGCGCGCAACAAUGGUAACGACAAUGGGAUGCCCCCCUGAAAAGGAAGCUAAUCCUCGAAACGUAUCCAAGUCCGAAUUGAGGGUUGCAAC
rnacentral:rRNA from 1 species